UACGAAGGGGGCUAGCGUUGCUCGGAAUUACUGGGCGUAAAGGGCGCGUAGGCGGCGCGGUAAGUCGGGUGUGAAAUCUCGGAGCUUAACUCCGAAACUGCAUUCGAUACUGCCGUGCUUGAGGACUGGAGAGGAGACUGGAAUUUACGGUGUAGCGGUGAAAUGCGUAGAUAUCGUAAGGAAGACCAGUGGCGAAGGCGGGUCUCUGGACAGUUCCUGACGCUGAGGCACGAAGGCCAGGGGAGCAAACAGG
rnacentral:rRNA from 1 species